rnacentral:rRNA from 1 species
UACGAAGGGGGCUAGCGUUGCCCGGAUUGACUGGGCGUAAAGGGCGCGUAGGCGGUUCGUACAGUCAGACGUGAAAUUCCUGGGCUCAACCUGGGGGCUGCGUUUGAUACGUGCGGGCUUGAGUGCGGAAGAGGGUCGUGGAAUUCCCAGUGUAGAGGUGAAAUUCGUAGAUAUUGGGAAGAACACCGGUGGCGAAGGCGGCGACCUGGUCCGAUACUGACGCUGAGGCGCGAAAGCGUGGGGAGCAAACAGG